CCUACGGGAGGCAGCAGUGAGGAAUAUUGGUCAAUGGACGAGAGUCUGAACCAGCCAAGUAGCGUGAAGGAUGACUGCCCUAUGGGUUGUAAACUUCUUUUAUAUGGGAAUAAAACGUUCCACGUGUGGGAUUUUGUAUGUACCAUAUGAAUAAGGAUCGGCUAACUCCGUGCCAGCAGCCGCGGUAAUACGGAGGAUCCGAGCGUUAUCCGGAUUUAUUGGGUUUAAAGGGAGCGUAGGUGGAUUGUUAAGUCAGUUGUGAAAGUUUGCGGCUCAACCGUAAAAUUGCAGUUGAAACUGGCAGUCUUGAGUACAGUAGAAGUGGGCGGAAUUCGUGGUGUAGCGGUGAAAUGCUUAGAUAUCACGAAGAACUCCGAUUGCGAAGGCAGUUCACUGGACUGCAACUGACACUGAGGCUCGAAAGUGUGGGUAUCAAACAGGAUUAGAUACCCCAGUAGUC
rnacentral:rRNA from 1 species